rnacentral:rRNA from 1 species
AUGUCCAUCUCCCCUACAGAAUCCACCAGAGGAUUCCACCCGCCCGCUCCGCGCGCCUCGAACCCUAGCCCCAGCCCUCGCCAUGGCACCGCCUCUCGCCGCGGCAGUCGCUCUUCCCCUCGGGCCUCUGCCGCCGCGCCUGGCGUCGGCAGGGACGGCGCAAGCCCCGAUUCAGUGGGUUUUAUCGGGCAAUCUGUUGAUACACCCCAAGCGGUAGUCGGAUUUAGAAUAUCUGGUGAAGAGGAUGAUCCGUACGCCCAAGAGGUUAGUGAUGUUUCUGAAUGCCAGUCUUCUGGACAGGGGAGUUUGGGUCUCACAGUGCACAGUGGCGGCUCAGUUCAGGCAGAUGUUCAGAGACUUGAGUUGGUGGGGUCCCUGGAGAUUGACCAUAGUUCUGAUGGACUUCAGGGUAAUGGAGCUCUGAUGGCUUCUAGAAAGAAUCAGGCUGUGAAUGCAAAUUAUCUUCUGAAUUUCCAGUAUGAUCCUAUUUCUCGACCGCAGCCUCGUGGCCCUAGAACAUAUCCACCGAGAAGGCAAAGGAAGAUUAAGCCUUACAACAAGGACUUGUUCCUCCAAGCAAAUUUUAAGUUCGUUGUGUUGGAUACUGGAAAUUAUCAGAUUGAUUCAAUGGAUCCUGAUAAGAUGCUCCAGUGGGAAGAUAUCAUCUGUGUAAGAUAUUGUAGCCCUUCUGAGGUGCGAUGUCCAAUUUGCUUGGAAAGCCCACUGUGCCCGCAGAUUACAUCAUGCGGUCAUAUAUAUUGCUUUCCAUGCAUUUUGCAUUAUUUACUAAUGGGUAAAGAGGAUUACAGAGGUGAGUGCUGGAAGAAGUGCCCACUGUGUUUCAUGAUGAUAUCUGCAAAAGAGUUGACCACCAUCUUUGUCACUCAACUUCAGCAUUUCCAUAUUGGCGACAACGUGACCUUCACACUUCUGGGGCGGUCAAAAAAUUCACUCACUCCUUUUCUUAGGAAUUCGCCUAGUGAAUAUUCUUCUUUAGAUGAAGAUCCUUGCAAUGUUUUCUCCAAGUUCAUUUUGACAUCUGAUGUUGAGCUCUCCGUUAGAGGGGCAAAAUCAGAUCUCAGUAAUUGGUUGCAGAUGGCUGACUUAGGCCUUGUUGAUGACUUGGAGAAACUUCCAUAUGUUUCCGCUGCUUUGGAGCAACUGGAAGAAAGGAUGAAAUACUGGUCUGAGUUCAGAUAUUACAGUAGCAGCCCCCCUCUAAAAAAUAGCUCCUCUCCUAUCUCUAGUAACAAAUUGAAGAACUCUGAUAAUCCGAAAACUUCACAUACGAACAGUGGGCAUAAACUCUCCCCUCUUUCAGAUGGAGAUAUUAUUACCGGUGUUUCAGGGCUUUCUGUUUCACCCCUAUAUAUUAACUCCAAAAAGGGAGUGCCACAAAAAAUGGAAGAGCGACGUGCUGUUGCAGUUGAUUCAAAUGAACAAGACUCAUACACAUUUUACCAGGUGAUUGAUGGUCAGCACCUAAUUCUUCAUCCAUUGAACAUGAAAUGCCUUCUUAACCAUUUUGGAAAUUCUGAUAUGCUUCCACCAAGAGUGACUGGAAAAAUCUUGGAGUUGGAAACUAUAACACAGUCCGAGGCUUCAAGAAAACGCUACCGCUUCUUAAGCCACUUCUCAUUAACUACAACGUUCCAGUUCUGCGAAAUUGACCUGAGUGAUAUGCUACCUCCUGCCUCAUUGGCUCCAUUCAUGGAUGAAAUCAAAAGGCGUGAGAAACAAAGAAUACAAACUGCCAAGAAGGAAGAAAAGGACAGGGUGAAGGCCGAAGUAGCCGCUGCUGCCCAGGAAUCUGCUAUGCGUUUUGAAUAUACAAAUUUCUCUCGCACUCAGAGCGAUGUUAUGUUCUCUCUCGAUGACUUUGAAGCUCUGGGAAAUAAUGCUGCUGGACCAUCAACGAGUCCACCGGCCGGUGAACGUAAACUUUUCUCCGAUGUUACACGGCUUGGUUUCGCGUCUGCACUGGACUCGCCUCCUCUGAGAGCUGAAACUGGAGACACCAAUAAUGAAAUCACAAGGGAUCAAGGGCCGGUAGCAGCGUCUUCCGUGUCCUUUGCCAGCAUCCUAUCUUCUACUAGAGCUUCUGCGGACAGCAGCGCCGAGAUGCCUAAACCAAAUGGAGUCGGAAAGGCGGGCAAGAAGCGCACCAAGGUGCUCUUAUCGACCGGUGGUGGCCGCCGAUACUAG